rnacentral:lncRNA from 1 species
GCUGUGUGUAAGAACAGAACUUAUUUAAAGGAUUUCUGAAAGUCUACCUGUUAAGGGGACAUAUACAACUUGAGAGAUAGCACUGCUCUUCCCGAAGUCAUUCUGGAAGGCAAAAUUUUUCAGAAAAAGGAAAAAGGAGUAGAGGGGGUUGGUGACAACUGUCUUCAAUAAGCCCGAAACCAUAGAACAGUUCGCAAGGUGCUUCCAACAAAGUUUCUGACACGGGGAUAGCUGUGCAGUAGCAGGAAGUAGUACGUAAAAGAGUAGAGACUUUUCUAUGAGACGGAAGUGAGUUUGAAUUCUGGCUUUGCAACUUGCCAGGUGUGCGACACUAGACAAGCCCGUCACCCCAGUAGCCUCCCAGUCCUCAUCUGUAAGGUGGGGUUAGUGAUAUUCAACAGAUUGCUGUGGGACACGGACAAGUAUGGCGCACGAAAUAUUUAGUGAACUGGAGAGGUUUAAGGCACACGUUUCCUCUCUGCUCAUCGUAGGAAUUCUGGGAGGAGGAGGAAGAUGUCAUCAUUUUCGAUGUUGUUUAUAUUGUCGCUUUCCCAAUUAUCAUUAAGCUCCAUGGGACGAGGAAGGCACUAGACCCUGUAACCACAGAGCCCAACAUGGAUGCUCCAGAAACGUGCUGAGCAAACGAAUCCCCACCCCUGAGUCCCUGGGGUGGGUUGCAGCACGGGGCCGCCUCCGGCUGUGAGACCCUCCAAGCAGCCUUGCCAUCCCCCUGCUCUGCCCUUGGGCUCGCGCGCCGCCUCCCGGAACGCGCGGAGGGACCGUUCGCCGAGGCCAUCACCGCCUUACCCCAGGCCCCGCUCCAGUCUCAGUCUCGCUCUGCCCACACCUGCGCGCGGACGCCAAGCCUUGGGCCUCAAGAGGCCCAGCCCAUUUGGGUCUCCAGGACGCGGUUGCCCAAGCGACGAGCUCACUCCUCGAUUGGAGAACAGGUCUCAAGCCCUGGCAAGAAGCGGAUUUACCAUUGGUCAAGUGAAGACAGCUGGCAGGAAAGAGGCGGAGCCAGGCCAGCGGUUCCGCCCCCGGAAGAAGCGGGAGCCGAGCAGCUGACGUCACGAUUGUUCAUCUCCUCAGUAAUCAAGAAGAAACUCUGGGAUCGUGCAGGGCUGCUGGCAAGGAUCCUCCGCCCGCCCAGCAGAUCUGAGGUCCGCAUCCCACUCUGAACACUGAGACGGGGCUGUCCCCACCUCGGUCACCCCAGUGAUCUUGUGAUUGGAGAUUCUGCACAGCAGGACCUGAUCGAGCCCUGAGGAGUCGCACGUUGUUUCCCACACCUCGGAAUGAAGGCCGGAAGGACACACACGUGACCUGCAUGUGCCACUGUCCCCUGGCCACUGUCCUUCUGAC